rnacentral:lncRNA from 1 species
CUGACCUCCUGUGGGCAUAGGAAAGAAGUACAUUCACCCCACAGAUCUAAAUUUCCUGGUAUGAGCUAAGGGAGAACAUCUUAAAUCUAUCUUCCUCUCGGAAAAUUGGCCCUGUAUUUACAAACCUCCUGGGAAUAAGAUUCCACAUGUUAUUUCAUUUUGGUCCAGGAUCCAUCAGGCCCUUGUGGGAGACUGGUUGGUAGAAUCACCCAUAGCAAGCUCUGGUCAUCAACCACAGGGAGGCUGCCUCAGCCCUGAAGUCUCCGGAACCUGGAUGCUUCGGAAACUGAGCUCUGCUGCGUCGACGUCAAACAGCCUGGCUCAAAAUCUUUCUUCCUUCUGCUUUUGGAGAGCAAUUUCAACAUAUCUGUCAAGGAUCAGCUCUGUGAACUCAGCCCUUUGCUUUUUGUUCCUCCUAGGACAUUCCCAUUGCAUUGAAAGUAUCUGUUUAUCUGUUUAAUACUAGUCUAAUAGUAAUGAUAAUAUAAUAAUGAUAAUCAGCAUCAUCA